rnacentral:rRNA from 1 species
GAUGAACGCUGGCGGCGUGCCUAAUACAUGCAAGUCGAGCGAACGGACGAGAGGCUUGCUUCUCUGAUGUUAGCGGCGGACGGGUGAGUAACACGUGGAUAACCUACCUAUAAGACUGGGAUAACUUCGGGAAACCGGAGCUAAUACCGGAUAAUAUUUUGAACCGCAUGGUUCAAAAGUGAAAGACGGUCUUGCUGUCACUUAUAGAUGGAUCCGCGCUGCAUUAGCUAGUUGGUAAGGUAACGGCUUACCAAGGCAACGAUGCAUAGCCGACCUGAGAGGGUGAUCGGCCACACUGGAACUGAGACACGGUCCAGACCCCUACGGGAGGCAGCAGUAGGGAAUCUUCCGCAAUGGGCGAAAGCCUGACGGAGCAACGCCGCGUGAGUGAUGAAGGUCUUCGGAUCGUAAAACUCUGUUAUUAGGGAAGAACAUAUGUGUAAGUAACUGUGCACAUCUUGACGGUACCUAAUCAGAAAGCCACGGCUAACUACGUG